rnacentral:lncRNA from 1 species
UUUUUUUUUUUUUGGCUUAAGCCACCAUCUGGGACAUCAUUAACAUCUUUUCUUUGUCCUUUCAUGAUUGCAAAAAUAUAUACAUUAUCACAUAUAUAAAUAUAUAUUAUAUAAUUAUGUACCAAUCAUAGCAUGUAAAAUAUCAUGCAUAUACAUUAUAUUUUUAAAUCAAAUUCAUGCAACAUGAAUAAAAUGAUAAAUUUGACAUGCAUGUUCUUGCCAUAAAAGUUUCUUCUAUAUCAAAUUUUGGUAAUAAGAGUUCUUAUUUCUCUUCAUAAACUAUCCAAUAGAUAAUCACAUUUUAAAAAAAAAUAAAUAUGAUUAUUCAAAUAGAAUAAUUAUUCAAUAAAUGUCUACUUGAAUAAUCACAGUCUUUGUUAAUAUUAAAGUACUUUUGGUAAUAAGAGACAUAACUUAUCAUUCUGAAUAGUGACAUAUCUUCAUUAGUAACCAACUGACAUAACUUUGGGUAUUUAAGUGACAUACCUUAUCACUAUAAAUAGUGACAACUCUUGAUCAAUAAUCAAGUGAUACAACUCUUGGUUACUUAUAACUUUGGCAUAAUGACUUAUUUAACUUUUCAACUUAACAAAAAAAAUCAUUUUAGCCAUUUAUUUAAUUUUUUUUUGUUUUAGCAUUUGAACUUGUAUUUUUUGUCACAUCACCUCAAAAUAGAUGGAAAAAUUAAUAUUUGUAAACUCUACUAACACGGCAUACAUGUGGAUUGCCAUGUCAACAUUUAAUUACUUUUUUAAAAUUUAAAAUAUUAAAAAUAUUAAAAAUAUUUUAUAAUAUUUUAUAAUUUUAAUGAUUUUUAAUUUUUAAAAUUUUAAAAAUUAAUUAAAUGCUGACAUGUCAUCCACGUGGCAAUUCACAUAUAACAUUAGCAAAGUAAAAAAAAAAGGUAAUCUACAAAAAUAGUUACUUUUGUUUGCCUCAGGUUACAUUUUAGUCACUUAUGUUAUUAUUUUGUUACGAAGUGAUCACUCUACUGUUAAGUUCCGUUAUCUCUCUAACGGUAAUCGUAGGUAACAGUCCAACUAGAUUUAAGGUGCCAACUUAGAUUUCUAAAUGGGAUGAAAAUAAAUUUUUAAUUAAAAAAAUUUAAUUAAUUAAAAUUUUCAAAUGUAAACCUUAACUAAAAAAACUGUUGAUCUCCUCUUUUUAAUUUUUCUUAUGUCUCUUAUUUUUUUCAAUGGCGUUUUUUUUUCAUUUGAUUGGAAAAACUAUUAUUAAGAUCAAAAUAGUUGAAAUCAACAAUAAGAAAUAAUAAUCUGGAAUACCCACAAAGAGAUUGUGAACAUACAAGUUGAUUCAAAUUAGAAAAAAAUUUAAUUGAGAAACUAAUUAUUCAAGAACUGUGAAAGAACUAGAAAAUAUAAUAAUCAGGAACAACAACAAUGAAAGUAACAGCCUUUUUCUGAAAAUUUUAAAAUUAGCAUGAAUGAAACAUGUUUCUGGUUGCAUUUUAUAGGAUGUCUAUUGACGCAAAAUAAAAUACAUGUUUACAAACAAUUUCAAAAAAUAGAAGAAAAUAUCAAGAAUUUUAAUUUAGGGUUUUCAUUAAAUAAUAAAAAUCUAAUCUUUUGUUUUUUAAUACUGAAUAAAAGAGAUAGAGGAAUAUAAAGAAGACAUACCUGAACCUUCCAUUGAAUCCAUCUUUAUGAAGCAGUCAAUUUGAUUUCAACUAUUUUGAUCUUAAUAAUAGUUUUUCCAGUCAAAUGAGAAAAAAAAACCCAUUGAAAAAAAAAGAAAAGAUGGAAGAAAAAUUAAAAAGAGGAUAUGAACAGUUUUUCAGUUAAGGUUUAGGUUUAAAAAUUUUAAUUAAUUAAAAUUUUUAAUUAAAAAUCUAUUUUCAUCCCAUUUAAAAAUCCAAGUUGGCACUUAAAAUCUAGUUGGACUGCCACGUAAGAUUACCGUUAGAGAGAUAACGGAACUUAACGGUAGAGUGAUCACUUUGUAACAAAAUAAUAAUAUAAAUGACUAAAAUGUAACAUUUCAAAGAUAAGUAAUUAAAAUGUAAUCUAAGCCAAACAAAAGUGACAUUUUUAUAGAUUACCUAAAAAAAAGUGAAGGUGAUUUAACAAAAAAAUAUAAGCUUAAGAGCUAAAAAGAUAAAAAAUUAAAUAAAUCGCUAAAAUAGCUCUUUCUGUUUUUUUUUUUAUAAAUUUAGAAGGUCAAAUAAAUCAUUAUACCUAUAACUUUUCAUUUCCAACAAAUAUUUCACCUACAUGUGAAAGACUUACAAAAUUAAUCUGAAGUUAAAAAGCUGAAACUAGACUUAAUGAAAUUUCAUCCCUAACAACUCUAGUAUUUUAAUUUCCUAUAGAUAAAGUGUAGUAAAAUCCUGAAGUUACUCCAGGAUUUCAUAUCUUUUAUCUACUCCAAAAACCAUACUUGUGUCUUUUAAUCAACGACAAAACAAACCCAACAAUUUUAUCCAGUCAUUAGGAUGGGUUUAUACAUGUUUAAUUAUAUUGUAAUUUCCUAUAAAUUAUUACACACUAAUAAAAGUUGUUUUCAAGCAUUCGAUAGCAUCAAGGUAAUUGUACCUCAAUUCGAUCGCGUUUGAUUGUUUGCUGAUGUAAUGGCUUGCUUUGGUGGCUAUUGCUUGUUCCUAUGGCUUUGAAUCCUCCUUUUCCUGUUUAGUAAUGGAGGCCUGAUUGAAGUGUAAGUUUUUCCUGAGCAGUCCAACUCGGACUUUAGAUUGAUCGGCUUUCGAGUGAACUGUGACUCUCGUUCAAGUGUACUAAGAUUGUUGAAAGCUUUGGCUCAUUUGGAGCUAUUGCUCUUGCUGCAUGUAAACCUAUUGGAAAAACAUUUGUUAAGGACCCUCCAGCAGUAUCAAGCCCUUUCUCAAGAAUCGUAAGAGAUUUCAUAGCAGCCACACUUGGUUUUGAUUUUGCCCAAGCCCUGUUUUCACGAUCCACCCUGGGGAGAGUUGUACAAGUAUUUCAUCUUCUAAAUGUUUAUUAACUACUGGAUUAUUAUCUACUUCUUUAGGGAUUUUGAAGAAGGUCGUGAUGUUGAAGUACUUGAAGCCAUGACUUGUACGGAAGAACCAAGGCUGUUUAUUGAUGAUUUACAUUCAAACUCCUUAAUGAUAGUGAGAUUAUUUAGUUUCCAGGAUUCCCAGUGCUUUGAUAAAAAGAAACAGGGGUUUGUACUAGAAGCGUAGAAAAUUAUUAUAAAAAGCCAGCAUAGUAACAUACAAAGAAGAUAAGGGUUUCUCAGUGGAUUACUGCAAAGUUUAGCAACACUUGUUUAAAAAUUACAAAAUCUCAGCCGAGAAUAAACAAAUUCAUACAAGACUUGUUUAUGAAUCAAGCUGAGCAUACCAGACACCAGUGAUCUUGACAUCCUUUGGAGUCUUGGCACCCAAGUCAGUGUCAGAUGGCUGAAGGCUCUCGAACACACCGAUAACUUCACCGGUCUCCGGCUUGCUCUUUGUGACGCUCAAGGUGAUUUUCCCUGAUGAAGAUGCAGCACUCUUGUUGUUCUCCUUGGCUAGCUCUUCCUCAUCCCCUCUUCCUCCAGCAGGCAAGGCCACUGCAUUAUCGUAACCGGUUGAGCCACCCCUUCCCUUUGGGUCCAAGAAAGAUGAGCCACGGUAGGAUGGUACAAGGAAGUCUCCUCCAAAGCUAUCAGGUUUGCCUGAUGCAACCAAUUGCUUGAUGGUGAACAGGAAAGGCACACGCUCACCACCAGGAAGCUGAACUGUGACGGCAGCAUAAUCAAUCCCAUCUUUCUCCUCGAAUUUGAGGGUGCCAUCGGUAGAUACCUCGAAAGGGCCCUCGAUUUCGUCAAGGGUGUAGGUUAAACGGGUCAUGAGCUUGGUGUUUUGGAACUCAGGAGGGGCAUUCUUGUUAACCCCCUCAGCCUUGACAGUGAAGGAAGUGGGCUCCAAGCAGAACUUCUUGGCGUAGUAUUUGCCAGGCUUGAAGGCAAAAGAGUCGACACCACCAUCGAUGGUUGGGCACUGGUUAGCAGUUCCUGUUCCUUUGACUUCCAUGUAUGUCUUGCUUUGGAUUUCAGCGUAGGUUAGCCGCUUUGGAACUCCUUCAGCGCUUGCUCCCUUCAAAACAAACCAGUCAUUGUAACAUAUUUGUUCAGAUCACGGAUCGUAUAUGAUCCUUAUGUAUGCAAUCAACGAUACUUGGCUCAAAUGAAAAAUCCAAAUGACAAAGUUACAACACCAUGCAAGCUCAUUAAGAAUCCUACCUAAGCUACAUAAAAAUAAAUACAGAAAUUUGAAGCAAGUGAGAGGCGAGAAGUACAUACCGAGACAACAAGAGCAGAUGUAGCAAGAGCGAAACCAGCGAGCUUGGUAGCAUCAACACACUUCAGAGCC